CAGUAGCCGCGGUAAUACGAAGGGUGCAAGCGUUAAUCGGAAUUACUGGGCAUAAAGCGUGCGUAGGCGGUGAGUUAAGUCUGCUGUGAAAUCCCCGGGCUCAACCUGGGAAUGGCAGUGGAUACUGGCUCGCUAGAGUGUGUCAGAGGAUGGUGGAAUUCCCGGUGUAGCGGUGAAAUGCGUAGAGAUCGGGAGGAACAUCAGUGGCGAAGGCGGCCAUCUGGGACAACACUGACGCUGAGGCACGAAAGCGUGGGGAGCAAACAGGAUUAGAUACCCCUGUAGUCCCUGUCUCUUAUAC
rnacentral:rRNA from 1 species